CACGUAGGGGGCAAACGUUGUCCGGAAUCAUUGGGCGUAAAGAGCUCGUAGGCGGCUCAGUAAGUCGGGUGUGAAACCUCCAGGCUCAACCUGGAGACGCCACCCGAUACUGCUGUGGCUAGAGUCCAGUAGGGGAGUGUGGAAUUCCCGGUGUAGCGGUGAAAUGCGCAGAUAUCGGGAGGAACACCAGCGGCGAAGGCGGCACUCUGGGCUGGUACUGACGCUGAGGAGCGAAAGCGUGGGUAGCAAACAGG
rnacentral:rRNA from 1 species